UACGAAGGGUGCAAGCGUUACUCGGAAUUACUGGGCGUAAAGGGUGCGUAGGUGGUUGUUUAAGUCUGCUGUGAAAGCCCCGGGCUCAACUUGGGAAUGGCAGUGGAUACUGGACAGCUAGAGUGCGGUAGAGGGUAGUGGAAUUCCCUGUGUAGCAGUGAAAUGCGUAGAGAUCGGGAGGAACACCGGUGGCGAAGGCAGCCAUCUGGACGACAACUGACGCUGAGACGCGAAAGCGUGGGGAGCAAACAGG
rnacentral:rRNA from 1 species